UACGUAGGAGGCAAGCGUUGUCCGGAAUCACUGGGCGUAAAGCGCGUGUAGGCGGAUCGCUAAGUCUGUGGUGAAAGCGCCUGGCUUAACCGGGCGAGGUCCAUGGAAACUAGCGGUCUGGAGGCCGGUAGAGGGGGGUGGAAUUCCGGGUGUAGUGGUGAAAUGCGUAGAGAUCCGGAGGAACACCAGUGGCGAAGGCGACACGCUGGGCCGUACCUGACACUGAUGCGCGACAGCAUGGGGAGCAAACAGG
rnacentral:rRNA from 1 species